rnacentral:lncRNA from 1 species
CCCCGCCACAUUAUUUAUGUAUGUGCCUGUCCCAAGUCAGGAGCCUGUAAUUCAGUGGUUGUCGUUUGUUUAUGUGUUACAUAUUUUUUUUUCGUUCAUAUUUUUACAUAAAUAAGGCCGUUAGUUUUCUCGUUUGAAUUGUUUUACAUUGUCUUAUCGGGGCCUUUUAUAGCUGACUAUGCGGUAUGGACUUUGCUCAUUGUUGAAGGCCCUACGGUGACCUACAGUUGUUAAUGUCUGUGUCAUUUU